GUUUUCAAUCAAACUGAUUUAUGAAACAAUUAAUUUAGAACCAAUACCAAUGAAGUUUUUGCUUAGCUAUUUUAUGUGUUCGUUAUCUUUGUAUCUGUGGAACGUUGUACACGCGUGAUAACGGAUGUUUUUUUGUGCAACAGUGACAGUGUUUUGUUUGUUUAUUUUCAUGUAGCUUGUUUUGAAGACAAUAGUUUUUAAAACGUAAUGUUCCCUUUCAAUUAUCAUUGUCUAAAUCUAAUGGGAACAUAGAAAAGAGAAUGUUUUAAUGUUGCGUCAGACAAAAUUGUGUCCGUCAAGUUUCAUCAAAGUAAGGUUUUAGAGUUCCAGAGGCCCUACUAUCUGUAUGAAAAGCUAAAAUGGGUCAAGGACUCACGCACCAGACCAUUGAGAAGCUGCACCAAACUUGUCGUACCCAAGCAUGAAACAGCGUUCUUCAGAGGGAGUUUCAAAUUUGCUGCUGCUAAAGUCUGGAAUGACCUGCCACCACCACUCCAAGUGCAGAGGAGGGGUCACUCUUGCUUGCCGGGGAUGUGCUGAGAUGCAUCCUGGUGGUGCCCACUUGCCUGCGAUGUACACUGAGCAGGUCCAUGUACCAGCUACUCACACUUUCCAUAGACUUGCAAGAAAAAAAUAAAAGUCAACAUGCCACUGCCAGCAAAUUUAUGAGGUAAAUUAUCAGUAAAAUAAAAACUUUUAUAUUAAAGGAAAAAUUGAAAAAUUUACACCUCCAGCAAGACUCAAAAUUGCGACUAUUGGAACACCUCGGACGGUUCUGCCAACUGAGCUAUGGUGGCUUACCAGAUGUGUGCCAAUUUUUCCAUUCCUUUGCUUAUAAAGUUUAGGGUGGCGUAUACCAACAUCUCUUGUCUAUAUUUACAGGCACUGGACCGGAGUCUCAAGUUAUAUUGAGAAUUCGCAAGUAACAAUGUGCUAACCCAUAAUAAACAAACUUUUAUCAUUUUUACUUUAAUAUGAAAAUUUUAGUAUCACUCACAGACAUAUGUGCUUGGUAAAAAAUUAAAUUAUUAGUUUUAUGAAUUGCCCUAAGCUUGCUUAUUUAUUUAAUAAAUAAAUAUUAUAGGACAAAUUGUACAUAGAUAAACCAAGUCCUAUAAAGCUUUUGUUGUGGGUACUAGACAGCAAUACAUAUAGUUAUAUAUAAAUACUUAUAAUAAUAUAAUAAUUUAUUUAUUGCAAGUAAGUUACACUCAUAAUGUGGUUAGUAAAACUUAAUUCUAAAUUAUGUAUUAGUAUUUUUUUUAACCUAGGGAUACAUCUAUAUCUAUAAACUAUUUUUGUUGUCAUCUGAGUACGGCACAUGUAGCCGACUGCAGCAUAGUAAAUAGGGGGAGUCCAGCCUGUCCCCUAUCAUCUUCAUGAUGAUGUUGGGGCUGGCGCGCACCCGGCGCACCAGGGAUGCGGCCCUCUUACGGAUAGUGGCAUAGAAACAAUCGACCCUGGCUUCAGCGAACAUCCCUGAUGCGCUACAGAAGCGCGGCAGCCCCAUCAACACCCGGAACGCGUUAUUAUACUGGACGCGGAGGGCUUCGUAGGCCCGUUUCGUAUAUGAAAGCCACAAAGUGCACGAGUACAGUGAGGUGCAGUAAGCUCUAAAGAGUGUCACUUUCACCUCCCUGGUACAGCGCACAAAUUUGCGAGCAAUCAUAUUCGCCCGGGCCGACAGGGCCCUCCUUUCUCUCUCUAUGUCUUUAUCAUCUUUGAGGUCUGCCGUGACUAUGUGCCCAAGAUAUUUAAACAUGUCCACCCUUUCGAGGUCUGUCCCGUUUAGUUUGAUGGGUGUCACUUCGGCUGUUCUGCCACGGCCGACAUCAAAGACCAUAUAUUUACUUUUAUUUACGUUAUAUUUUAAGCCGUGAGUCUCUGCAUAUGUUUCACAUACCUCCAGCAGCCUACGUAUGCCACCAACCGAUGCGCUUAGCAGAACCAUAUCGUCUGCAUAACUAAUAUUAUUAAGGCAGACACCGUCAAUAUGACAUCCGAUAUGCAAUCUGCCAAGCGCAUCUAGCAGUUCGUAGAUGUAGAGUAGGUGAGCUCAACCCCCCCUGCCUCACCCCACACUCCAACCUAUAAGGGUCAGAGAGCGCAUCCGCCCAUCUAACGCAGUUGACUUGGUUUCCAUACCAGUACCUGAAAAUGCUGAUUAGUCCAGAUGGAAGUUUAAUGUCUUCAAGUUUCUUCCAUAAAAUCUUAUAGGAAACCAAGUCAAAAGCCUUAGAUAGGUCGAGGAAGCAGGCAUAUACAGGGGAAUUUUUAUCUACGUAAUAUACCGGGUGUGUCCUGUAAUACAACAAAAAAUUUAAAAUUAAACUUCAAACUAGCCAACAUUUGUUCAGCGACUUUUAAAAAUUAAAAUAAUUUGUAUUUUUAAUUUUAGCACACCUUACUUCAGGAAGAAAUAUUUGUGAAAUAAAUGCCCUCACCUUUUUCACCACACCAGCUGGUAAAGGCUCUCUUGAUUGUUCAAAACUGAUAUGAAAGUUGCAUUUUAUUCACAUGUGAGGCAAAGUAAUCAAAUGCAGAUUUUGAGUUGUUCUCUUAUAUUUGCUGGUAGUAUUGACAUUUUGAAUCGAUUUGCUUUGAUUUUGUUUGAUAUCUUACAGUUAGUAUUUUCCUUGUGUUGGUGUGGUAAAAAAAAUUGUUUCACUCGGUGUAAAAAUUUGUUUAACCCUCGUGCCUGGAAACCCUCGCAACGCUCAAGAUUCUUAUGAGCAUGCAUGCUUUAGUUUUAGUUUAGUAUUAAUUUCGUUUCAGAUAAAAUGUAGAUUUUUGACAAUGCAAAAGUGAUCCAACAGAUCCUACUUGAAUAAAUUGGUUUUUAUCUUUAUCUUAUUCCAGAGGAAUCUUUCGCUUCCCCUGGUAUCAAUAUAAGCACGAGAGGUUAAACAACAACUUUGCGCGCUUGUAAAACAAAUAACUAUUAGUAUGUAAUGUUUUAUGAGUGUACCUAUAUGUAUUUCUUUAGAGCCUAACCCAAAUAUCUUGUUAUUUCCUAGGUAUUUAAAUACGGUAGUACUAUUAGUUAUUCUGUGAUUUAAGCAGGGGGGUGUCACUUCGCAGUUUAGGUACAUUUGGCCGACGCGCCUCCCGGGCAGGCGUAUGGCAAUGAGCUGCCGCUCGACUCGCGCAAAAUUUAAAAUACAUAAUGCCUUCGAAACCUAAAUUUAUAGCGGAGUCUUAGUAAUAGGGCACCGUUUUUACUCUUUGGGUAUGGAACCCUAAUAAAAACAUCAUUCUGUUUUUAUUUUUACCCCUGACUGUACAAAGAAUGACAUGUAUGUAUGUUUACGGUGAGUGGAUUUUUGUGUGUUCCCAGCGCCGCGUACUUACUAAAGAUUUUGUUAAGAAUCACUGCUUCAGAAACAGCAAUCCACAUGUUGCUGAAACAGAGAUAGUUGCGGUAAACACUACAUAAUUGUUUAUCGCCAUGAUCAUUGUACCUCAGACUAAAGACCAAUAUAACCCCGUAUAAGAUGAAUAAAGUCUAAGGAAAAAACGUGCCUCGGAAAUCAUGAAUUUUAACACAUAUCAGUGAAAGAACAUGGGUCAAAAUCAUAAAAAUAAUAAAUACAAAUAAAAAAAUCAUUUAUCCAUUAUACAUAUAUAUAUAUAAUUUUUUUGAUAUUUUUAGUUUUAAUCGUGUGUCGAUAGAUGGCAGUAAAUUUACUGUGGCUACGAAAUUUACUUCCCUCUAUCCUAUGCGACUGGCGAGAAACUGCAUAGGACCGGGAUCAGUGGCGAACUGUCGUGUUGGAGGCCAAGACACACUUUGGGUCGCUGCGCCAGAGGAGUAAGUAAGUAAGUAAGUCUAUCCUAUGCAUUCUCUUUGCUCAGACCGUCCACACUAUGUGAGCUGAAACAUUGUUUCUGUUAAUAUCUGCAUAGUGUUUCAGAAACAAUGUUUCAAACAUUGUUUAUAGUGAAUGCUCGGCUUAAGUCUCCAAAAUAAUCAGUUUUGAUUACUUUUCCUGAACAGGAUUUGUGGAACAGCAAAAAUGGUGUAUCAAGAACUUUCUAUAAGAGGAAGAUGUUUUAAUUUUGCAGCAGUGUCUGUUGUAAAGUAACUUUGUUACAAGCUUUUAUUAUUGUAUAACUUGCAGUAUACUCGUAUGUAUGUUCAGGUCAAAUCUUGCAUGCAAAAUUAGACCCAAUUUCUAAUUUCUUUUCUAUUAUUACAUAAAGCUAAAAAUUCACAUACACAAGUAAGUUGGGUGACAAUGCAUUAUUAUGGUACCAUCAAGAUGAUCUAAUGAUGGACUAAAGGUGGCCAUUGGAACUCUGUGAUAAAACAAUGAAAUCUAAUUGUGCCUCGAUUUGGUAGAAUUGUAUUGAUGAGUAUUACUUGCCUGUUGAAAGAAACGUACAGUCAGCAAUAAAAGCUUGUAUUGAAAAUGAAAUUUUUGACAAAAAAAACCCGGCCCUCUGAACCCUAAAAAUGAUUAUAAGUUGAAUUAAAUAUGAAACUAACCUGAUUUCAGACAAUGAUGGCUGUCAUCCAGCAAAAUGUGGAUCGCCUGAUGUCUUGUGGUCGCCUGGGAAAGGGACUAACACUAUUGAGUCAGUCUGCUUCACACCUGUAAUGUGACACAAGACAACGUGAUGGGCUGAUGGAUGUCGUCCAGCAAUGGUAGUCGGGAGCCACCUCUUGCCAACUCUUGCCACCUCUUGCCAACUCUUGCCAACUCUUGCCACCUCUUGCCACAUGAGCCGAUGUUGCAGACUCCCGGUGGAGGCCGAGUCCUAGCAGCGGACACAUGGACGGACAUUAUGGA